GGAAGGAUGGCCGAGAGGUCUAAGGCGCUGUCUUGCUAAGGCAGACCGGCAAGCCCGGCGCGGGUUCGAAUCCCGCUCCUUCCG
rnacentral:tRNA from 1 species